UGGUUUGACUGGUCCCUCGGGGUGGUGGAUUAUCGAUCUAGUCCAACCAAUAAUCUCUUCGCAUAUUUCGUGCUGUUUUUACAAAUCUUCUGCAAGUUGGGCUCAUACCAUUGGCCAAAAAUAUCUAUGUGAAAUUAUUGUCUUGUCAUUUAAUUAGGUAAGAAUAAGACCUAGCUUUUUUUUUUUUUGCUACAAUAAGGCCUAGCUUUGAACAGCCAAUUUUAUUUUGUGUGUGUGUGUGUGUGUGUGUGUGUGUGUGUGUGUGUGUGUGUGUG
rnacentral:lncRNA from 1 species